rnacentral:rRNA from 1 species
UACGUAGGGACCAAGCGUUGUUCGGAUUUACUGGGCGUAAAGGGCGCGUAGGCGGCCCUGUCAGUCGGGUGUGAAAGCCCGGGGCUCAACCCCGGAACGGCACCCGAGACGGCGGGGCUGGAGACCGGGAGAGGAGGGUGGAAUAGCCAGUGUAGAGGUGAAAUUCGUAGAUAUUGGCUGGAACACCGGGUGGCGAAAGCGGCUCUCUGGCCCGGUUCUGACGCUGAGGCGCGAAAAGCGUGGGGAGCAAACAGGG